UUGACCAAAAAGUUUGGUCAGGUUUUUCCAUAACAGCGUAUGGAAAAACCUGAAAGAAAUUUUUGGCUAA
rnacentral:miRNA from 1 species